UCUCGCCCCGGGCUCUGCGCACUCCUUUGUUUGGAGAUACUCAGUGCUCUGCAGCUGCCGCCUGCAGAGCGGAGUCCCGGAGCCUCACCCCACCUCCAACACCCUCUGUUCUGGGAGCGCUCGCUGCCUACUUUGCUUGCAGUCAGGAGCUCAUCCUUUGCCCCACCCCAAGACUGUCCCGCGUCUCCCCAACACUUGGAGAGGUGAUCCGUCCAACCAGAUUAAGGUGUGGACUGCACAUUGAAGCCCACAGAAUUAGCUAAGCAGACCAGGAACCCAGUUGGAAAAUUACAAGUGCCCUGGAUCUACAAAGCAGGCCCUUCGCAUCAGCUAUGAAACCAUAAAUAUUCUGGCCCCACAUCGUAUUUCCAGUAUUAUUUUCCACGAUAUCUUCCUUCCCUCUGGCCAACUCCAUCUACCCUGCUCUACAGAACAGAAACUGAUUUUUUAUAAGCACUUUCCCUUGCCUUUUCAUUGGUUUUAACCUCAUCUCAGCUGACAUGAUUUUCCCCCCUUUCCUUCUCAUUUGUCCUGUUUGAUUGUCAAGAAUCAUUUAUAAUGACAUGCCUAUAAAAGCUUUCUGAAUUCCUCUAGGCAUAACUACAGUGUCUUUCACUUUUAAGUAAUCUGAAAUAAAAAGGUUUUUAUUAAAAAAA